rnacentral:rRNA from 1 species
UACGGAGGGUGCAAGCGUUAAUCGGAAUUACUGGGCGUAAAGCGUGCGCAGGCGGCUAUGCAAGACAGAUGUGAAAUCCCCGGGCUCAACCUGGGAACUGCAUUUGUGACUGCAUGGCUAGAGUACGGUAGAGGGGGAUGGAAUUCCGCGUGUAGCAGUGAAAUGCGUAGAUAUGCGGAGGAACACCGAUGGCGAAGGCAAUCCCCUGGACCUGUACUGACGCUCAUGCACGAAAGCGUGGGGAGCAAACAGG